rnacentral:rRNA from 1 species
UACGUAGGUCGCAAGCGUUGUCCGGAUUUACUGGGCGUGAAGAGCGCGCAGGCGGCUGGCCAAGUCUGAUGUGAAAUCUCCCGGCUUAACCGGGAAACUGCAUCGGAAACUGGUCGGCUUGAAGGUGGGAGAGGGUAGCGGAAUUCCCGGUGUAGUGGUGAAAUGCGUAGAUAUCGGGAGGAACACCAGUGGCGAAGGCGGCUACCUGGCCCAUUCUUGACGCUGAGGCGCGAAAGCUAGGGGAGCGAACGGG